rnacentral:rRNA from 1 species
UACGGGGGGGGCAAGCGUUGUUCGGAAUUACUGGGCGUAAAGGGCUCGUAGGCGGCCAACUAAGUCGGACGUGAAAUCCCUCAGCUUAACUGGGGAACUGCGUCCGAUACUGGAUGGCUUGGAUUUGGGAGAGGGAUGCGGAAUUCCAGGUGUAGCGGUGAAAUGCGUAGAUAUCAGGAGGAAUACCUAUGGCGAAAGCAGGUAUCUGGGCCAUCACUGACGCUGAGCUGCGAAAGCUAGGGGAGCAAACAGG